GAUGUAAAUAUAAUAGUAGAAAAAAUCUAGGUGAAUUUUUGUUAGAAAUCACCCGACAAUUGGAUAGUCAGUUCCCGAUUGUGUUUUCAAAAGUUAGUCAUCUAUCAAUAAACGGAUUGAGUAUAUCCAUAACGUUUUUGGAGUGUUUUCUUUCUUGAAAACACCUUCCAAAGGACAUUUUUUCUUAUGUGGUAAACUUCACCAAUGUUAACGCCGGCUGAUGCGUGGGCAUUAGCAAUUUUGCAGCCGGCCCACUUGUGAGUUGCGACCCUCUUAGAGGAUCUUUUUUGCCUGACUAGGGGGCCUAAAAUUAUUUGGCGCUUCACAAAUUCAUCCCAAUUUAUAAGAUCAAAUACAUGUAUGUAAAUAUGAAAAGAUGACGCUCAAUGAAGUCGGCGUCGUUCCAUCCUAAUUUAACAGAUCAAACACAUGAGAGGAUCGAACACAUAGGAACAUGAAGAGGUCUUGCUUAAUGACAUCCAAAUUUAUACAUUUGGAUGAGUUUGUGAGUACCAAAUCAUUUCAAGUCCACCUAAUCUAUGAUAACAUUAUUUGGGAGGGUGGCAAGUAGGCUGCCUCAAGAAUUAUACCUGUCUCUUAGCAUGGUGUGACCGGUGGUUGGUCGUUUGACGUGACAUAAAAAAAAUUAAAAAAGCACCUUUUGAAGAGCGUUUAUCCUAUAUACCUAUACAAAUCAUCCCCACUACUAGGAAAUCUCUGCUUCCUGGUGCUUCACAUCGCCCCAUUUGCUAUGAACCGUACGAUCUGAAUCAUUCGGAAGGGAAGCCAUGAAGCAGCCUCCCAGAGUUCCCCGGUUGUUUAUUGGGCCGAAAGAAGCCCAUGUUAUGGCCCAACUCAACGGGUAUCCAUCCCUAACCAGAGGCAAACCCUCCAGUUCCCUAUACCGCAGCGCCUUAGGUGACGGCGCCCGUCACUUCCUCUCCCGUGUCGUGUCCCUCCCCCUAUCCGGCGCUCCCUCUGCCUUUAGUUCAAGCCCACCUGCCGGCUGCCGCCUCCUAGCCUUUUCGCCUCCUCGGAAUGUCAUGAGAAAUGAAACCGCUGCUUCGAGAGCAGACUUCAUGGUUGUCAUCAAAGACAUCAAUUUACUGCUCCCAUAACGUCAUGGUGAAUUCAUCCUUGGCCUUCGCUUAUUACUGGGGAAUGCUUCAAUCAGGUUCUCUGUCCUUCUCCACCAAGGCACCAACUCUGCUUCAUCUGAGUUUCCACAUGUACAAUGUUCUGCAUUGAUAACCGUAGUAAGUAGCUUUAUUUUUAUCCCUUUGGAUAUUUGAUAUGUACAGAAAGUUAUUUGGUGAUGUGGUAUCUACAGCCUUCCUUCUGAAUGUGUUAUGCUGCUCCUGUAGAUCUUCAAUCUGAAAAAAGGAAAAAAAAAAAGGUGUGCACCGCUUUUCCUUAAACCUUCCUCCGAAAUUUAUUCAGUUGUCUCUAAGCGAAUGAUCAAUUUACCCUAUUCUCUUUGUCAGAGUUAAGUUCAAUGGUUAUUUUAAAUAGCUAACGGUGAUGAAUACCUUAUACCAUUUAACUGAAUUUUAUUCAGUUGUACUCUCGAUCUAACGUAUGUUCAAUCCAGCUGAUUAGUACUAGGUUGAUUUUCUGAAUCAAACAUUGCAGGGAGUCCCCCGCAGUUAAGUCAUUGAUUUGUUGUACAAUAAGAACAUGUGCUCGCUCAAUGUAUUGGCGCUAACAAUUGGUCAAGAUUCUCUCACCUGCCACCAUUAUCCUGCGGGCCCGCAGCUGGCUCAGAUUAUUCUGUCCUCUUUCCCAGCCAAUGACCAUAUUGCAUAGAUUUAAUUUUCCCUAAACUGAAGUGAUGAAGCAAGCUUCUACCCAACCGGCCACCUUUAUUCUCUGAUGAUGAGGUAGUUUACUUUAUUAUCCCCAGGUCUUCUACCUUUAAAUGUCAUGGUUUUUGCCUUUAUGAGAAUCCAGUUUUCCUUUUCAUAAUAGAAGGUGAUUCCGAAGGUGCUCUAAUCUUUCUCCUUUCUUUCUCAUUUUUCUUGCCAUAGUAUCAUCAAGUGAUUCACUACCUUACCAUAGUAUUAUCAGGUGAUUCAGAUGUAGUGAAAGGAUGUAAUUGCAUGAAGUGAUUUGAUCAAUACACAAAAUAGAAGUGCAACUGAUCGUCAUCUGCAGUAUAGGGCAGGUAUUUCACUACUCUCUGCUCAAAACUCAUAUUAGAUCCAUCAGUUAAGUGUGUUAGUAUUCGUUCUCCGUAGCUUCUAUUUUACGGAUUGUUUUUUUCUCUUUCUGAAUUCAUCCUGCAAAUAUCACGUUUUUGUUUAGUUUAAAAAAGUCUAGAAAUGUAUAAGCUUUACUAGGGAAAUUUUUCAGCUAUUUGUUUACUCAAUAAAGUGCAAUACAGCACUACGAGGUAAAACUGGCCCUUCCAAAUGUUCCCAUAGAAUUUUACUUAAUCUAUUGUUCAAAGUGUGUUGUACGUAUUUUUUUUAUAUUUGAAAAUAUGUACACUGUUAAUUACACACCGUUAACUUCACAUGUGCAGCCUACAUAUUGUUGCUCGACUAACCGAGUUUGUUACUGUAGAUGGCAGGUUCAUUUGUUGUAAGAGCAAGUUUAAUAGUAUAGCCCACUACUAGCUCUAAUUCAUCUAUAGCCAAUCUAAUAGCUCAUCCAUACAAUAGUUACAUACUACACUAUUAAUACAUGGUCCCACCUGUCAUACACACACUGCGUCUUGAAGUUCGUGCUACAGCUAGCUACAAAUCUGUAGCCCUCUACUCUUCUCUCUUCUUAUUUAUCUCCUUAAAAUAUGUUUGUAGCUGGCUUAUAGCUAGCUAUGGCUGGAGCUCAGAAGUUGCUUGCAACCUAAUCAGGCUAACCAUUCAAUCAUGAGUUAAGAAUAUAACAAACUGGUGAAUGUGAUUCAGAAAACAAAGAAGCUGAUAAUUAAUUAAGAACUUCCAUUAUUUCAGGUGAACAUCUUCACAAUUUACUGUUACAAACAUCAGGGUUUCAAAUUAAUUAUCAUGUAACAUUAGACUACAUGAAACAACUUUCGGGCUAUAUCUAUUACUACAAGUUUACAACUCUAGGUCAUAUAAAAAUGUCCCGCAGCAAUGUACGGAGUAUUAUCUAGAUAUAUAAAUAAAGCUUCCAAAGAACGUUAAAGAUCCGUAAAACUUGAAAACAAAAAGAUAUAGUACUGUAAAUAUAUUUUUGACCAAGUAGUUUUGUAAAUCUUCUUCUACUUAAAAAAAAUCAUAAUUAGGGGUGAAAACGAGCAAGUAUGGUCGGAUUAUGCCAUUCCCAUACCCUAACCCAUAUUUUCUUUUAAAUUCGGAGUCGGAUACGGGUAGUGCCGGAUAAUAUAUCACUCAUCCCAUAUCCUAUCCUAUAUUAUUUGCUUCGAAUCGGAUUCGGGAAUGGAUAUCUAUUUGUAUCUCUAAUUCAUAGAUAUUAAAUAAAAUAAGGUAAUUAAAGUAUUAAAAAAGAUACGUCAAGAAAAAAAAUUAUACAAUAUACAUAUGAGCACGUAAAUAGUGAUUAACUAAUCUUUUAUCAUGUUUUUAGGUGGAUUUAUAAUAAAUUUUCAUACAUGUUAUAUAAUAGGGACAUACGGGCGGAUACAUGUCUUCCCGUAUCCUAACCCACAUUUUCCCAACAAAUUCAGAUUUAAACUCGGAUAGUAUCGGAUAUCCCAUUUUUUCUCCCAUAUUCCUCCCGCGAGCCUCGGGUCAGGCGGGCGGUACGUCGGGAAAUACUCACCCCAUUUUCACCCCUAUUCGUAAUGGUGGUCUUGAUUUUUGACACAGUAGACGCAUUAGGCAGACAUGCGCAAUCGUAGCCGUUUGAUCACCAAAUCUAACGUCCCAGAUUGCCUCGAUCAUCCCCUCCCUUGCACUCUAUGAUAUAGAUGGCCAAAUGGCCCGCCCGACCCGACCUACAUGCCGAGCCUUCUCACGGGCUGCACCCAUGGCCCUGGAGAGGCCCAACAUCGUGUUUCUCCAUAUAAUAAGUCUAUUUUUCCUCCCUCAUAG